rnacentral:rRNA from 1 species
UACGAAGGGGGCUAGCGUUGUUCGGAAUUACUGGGCGUAAAGCGAACGUAGGCGGUGUUCUUUGUCAGAGGUGAAAGCCUGGGGCUCAACUCCAGAAUUGCCUUUGAAACGGGAACGCUUGAGUCCGAGAGAGGAUGGCGGAAUUCCUAGUGUAGAGGUGAAAUUCGUAGAUAUUAGGAAGAACACCGGUGGCGAAGGCGGCCAUCUGGCUCGGUACUGACGCUCAGGUUCGAAAGCGUGGGGAGCAAACAGG